rnacentral:rRNA from 1 species
UUAAUCAUGAGUCGCGAACGGGUGAGUAACGCGUAGGUAACCUGCCUACUAGACGGGGGAUAACUAUUGGAAACGAUAGCUAAUACCGCAUAAGAGUUUUUAACACAUGUUAGAAUUUAAAGGAGCAAAUGCUUCACUAGUAGAUGGACCUGCGUUGUAUUAGCUAGUUGGUAAGGUAACGGCUUACCAAGGCGACGAUACAUAGCCGACCUGAGAGGGUGAUCGGCCACACUGGGACUGAGACACGGCCCAGACUCCUACGGGAGGCAGCAGUAGGGAAUCUUCGGCAAUGGGGGGAACCCUGACCGAGCAACGCCGCGUGAGUGAAGAAGGUUUUCGGAUCGUAAAGCUCUGUUGUAAGAGAAGAACGUUGAGUAGAGUGGAAAGUUACUCAAGUGACGGUAUCUUACCAGAAAGGGACGGCUAACUACGUGCCAGCCGCAGC